rnacentral:lncRNA from 1 species
CACCAACAGUGACAGUGGCCAAGAACCCCUAAAGCUUCACAGGAGAGAAUCCGUGUAGGCCUGGCUCCCAACACCAGAAGGACAGAAAGAUGGCUGAGCUUGCUGCAUAACAACCACGAGGGGAACUUGUCAGAAAUACAGAUCCCAGGUUCCAGGUCCCAGGUCCCAGUGAGUCUCACUCAGUAAGUCUUUGCUCCUGCCUAGGAAUCUGUGGUUCAAGCAAGCAUCCCAGGUAGAAGACUGCCGUCUGCAAGCCAGGAACCAAAUCAGCCAGGAACUUGACCUUGGUUCCCCAGCCUCUGGAACUGUGAGACAUGAAUUUCUAAGGUUUAAACCACUCAGUCUUUGGCACUUAGUGACAACAGUCUGAGCAGUUUAAGACAAAGACACAUGCAGCCCCACAGGGAAUGUUACACCUAGGUGGCAGCAUAUCUGCCUACUUUCUAAUGUUCCCAGGAGAGUCCAGAAUUUGACCUGUCACUUUACAACUCCUCUUCCUUUGUGGUGGAAGGAGGGAAAGGAAAAGUGGAGAGUGAGAAGCAAGGUUGCAGUUCUUUCCCCAGCAAAACUCUCUCAACAGAAAGAAGGAAAUAGGGGGCUGGGCGCGGUGGCUCACGCCUGUAAUCUCAGCACUUUGGGAGACCAAGGUGGGAAGAUCACAAGGUCAGGAGAUGGAGACCAUCCUGGCUAACACGGUGAAACCCUGUCUCUACUAAAAAUACAAAAAAUUAGCCAGGCAUGGUGGCGGGCACCUGUAGUCCCAG